GCCUGCCCGUGGCUCCCGAGCCUCCCCCGAUCUGUCAAAGGGAAGGGGGCAGGAGAUUGGGGGAGGCUUGAGAGUCACGGGUGGGC